rnacentral:rRNA from 1 species
GAGGAAUGUAUAGCAAUAGCUACUUGCAUCAUUGUAAAGAUGAUGCAAGAUCGACUAUGUCGAAUAAAAUUCUAGGUAGAAUUAUGAUAAUGACAUUGUCUGCCUAUGUGUCUUGACCAAAUUACGUGCCAGCAGUCGCGGUAAUACGUAGAAGACUAGUGUUAUUCAUGUUUAAUCGGUUUAAAGGGUACCUAGACGGUAAAUCAAGCUUUCAAAAAAAAAAARAAUUAAAGGACUAAUUUACUAGAGUUACUUAUGAGGGGGUUUUAAAGUACUGCUGGUGUAGAGAUGAAAUYCUGUCAUACCUUUUUUCAAAAGAAAAAUCAUGGCACAGGUAUAGGCGAAGGCAUCCCCUUAUGUGAUAACUGACGUUGAAGGACGAAGGCUUUGUAUAGCGAACAGGAUUAGAUACCCCAGUAGUCGAAGCAGAAAAUGAUGAAUGUCAUAGAUUAGAUAUAUAAGUUUAUUCUAUAAAUGAAAGUGUAAGCAUUCCACCUCAUGAGUAAUUUGGCAACAUUGGAACUGAAAUCAUUAGACCGUUUCUGAAACCAG